rnacentral:tRNA from 1 species
UCCUAUUUAGAUCAGUUGGUAGAGCGCGCCACUGGAAAUGGAGAGGUCCCGGGUUCGAUACCCGGACCAGGCA